rnacentral:snRNA from 1 species
AGCUUUGCGCAGUGACGUAUCAUAGCCAAUGAGGUUUAACUGAGGCGCGAUUAUUGCUAAUAGAAAGACAGAGGCCAAUAGCCACAUGAAGGGUAAGAUGCUUCAAAGUGAGACUGUUACUGGU